rnacentral:rRNA from 1 species
CAAUAGCGUAUAUUAAAGUUGUUGCAGUUAAAAAGCUCGUAGUUGGAUUUCUGGUGGGAGCGAUCGGUCUGGCGCUUAGCGCGAGUACUUGCAUCGUCUCCGGCCAUCCUUGGGGAGAGUCUGUCUGGCAUUAGGUUGUCGGGCAGAGGAUCCUCAUCGUUUACUGUGAAAAAAUUAGAGUGUUCAAAGCAGGCUUAUGCUGUUGAAUAUAUUAGCAUGGAAUAAUAAGAUAGGACUUUGGUACUAUUUUGUUGGUUUGCGCACCAAAGUAAUGAUUAAUAGGGACAGUUGGGGGUAUUCGUAUUCCGUUGUCAGAGGUGAAAUUCUUGGAUUUACGGAAGACGAACUACUGCGAAAGCAUUUACCAAGGAUGUUUNCAUUAA